rnacentral:rRNA from 1 species
CGGUAACAGAAAGUGCUUGCACUUUGCUGACGAGUGGCGGACGGGUGAGUAAUGCCUGGGAAUUUGCCUUUGUGAGGGGGAUAACCAUUGGAAACGAUGGCUAAUACCGCAUAAUGCCUACGGGCCAAAGGGGGGACUUGUUCCUCCCGCGCAAAGAGAAGCCCAGGUGAGAUUAGCUAGUUGGUGAGGUAAAGGCUCACCAAGGCGACGAUCUCUAGCUGUUCUGAGAGGAAGAUCAGCCACACUGGAACUGAGACACGGUCCAGACUCCUACGGGAGGCAGCAGUGGGGAAUAUUGCACAAUGGGGGAAACCCUGAUGCAGCCAUGCCGCGUGUGUGAAGAAGGCCUUCGGGUUGUAAAGCACUUUCAGUUGUGAGGAAAAGUUAGUAGUUAAUACCUGCUAGCCGUGACGUUAACAACAGAAGAAGCACCGGCUAACUCCGUGCCAGCAGCCGCGGUAAUACGGAGGGUGCGAGCGUUAAUCGGAAUUACUGGGCGUAAAGCGCACGCAGGCGGUUUGUUAAGCUAGAUGUGAAAGCCCCGGGCUCAACCUGGGACGGUCAUUUAGAACUGGCAGACUAGAGUCUUGGAGAGGGGAGUGGAAUUCCAGGUGUAGCG